rnacentral:lncRNA from 1 species
UAUUUUUAUAGAGAAAUAUUGUAGAUUUGGGAUUGUCAUUUAGAAAUUAGGAUAACAAGAAUUUUUUUAUGAAAGAGAAGUAUUCUUUUAGAAUUUUUGAUCAAUAGGAUGUAUUUUUAAAAUAAUUUUCUAAAAACUGCUAUUUAAGGAUAGUUUUCAUUUGUAUAGAGAAAUAUUGUAGAUUUGGGUUUGUGGUUUAGAAAUUAGGAUAACAAGAAUUUUUGUUGCAAGAUGAGUAUUCUUUUAGAAUUUUUGAUCAAUAGGAUGUAUUUUUAAAAUAAUUUUCUAAAAGCUGCUAUUUAAGGAAAGUUUUUAUUUUUAUAGUGAAAUAUUGUAGAUUUGGGAUUGUUAUUUAGAAAUUAGGAUAACAAGAAUUUUUUAUGAAAGAUGAGUAUUCUUUUAGAAUUUUUGAUCAAUAUGAUGUAUUUUUAAAUAAUUUUUUAAAAGCUGCUAUUUAAGGAAAGUUUUCACUUGUAUAGAGAAAUAUUGUAGAUUUGGGAUUGUGGUAUAGAAAUUAGGAUAACAAAAAAUUUUGUUGAAAGAUGAGUAUUCUUUUAGAAUUUUUGAUCAAUAUGAUGUAUUUUUAAAUAAUUUUUUAAAAGCUGCUAUUUAAGGAAAGUUUUCAUUUUUAUAGAGAAAUAUUGUAGAUUUGGGAUUGUGGUUUAGAAAUUAGGAUAACAAGAUUUUUUGUUGAAAGAUGAGUAUUUGUUUUAGAAUAUUUGAUCAAUAUGAUGUAUUUUAAAAAUAAUUUUCUAAAAGCUGCUAUUUAAGGAAAGUUUUCACUUGUAUAAAGAAAUAUUGUAGAUUUGGGAUUGUCAUUUAGAAAUUAAGAUAACAAGAAUUUUUUAUGAAAGAUGAGUAUUUUUCUAGAAUUUUUGAUCAAUAGGAUAUAUUUUUUAAAUAAUUUUCUAAAAGUUGCUAUUUAAGGAAAUUUUUCAUUUUUAUAGAGAAAUAUUGUAGAUUUGGGAUUGUGGUUUAGAAAUUAGGAUAACAAGAUUUUUUGUUGAAAGAUGAGUAUUUGUUUUAGAAUAUUUGAUCAAUAUGAUGUAUUUUAAAAAUAAUUUUCUAAAAGCUGCUAUUUAAGGAAAGUUUUCACUUGUAUAAAGAAAUAUUGUAGAUUUGGGAUUGUCAUUUAGAAAUUAAGAUAACAAGAAUUUUUUAUGAAAGAUGAGUAUUUUUUUAGAAUUUUUGAUCAAUAGGAUGUAUUUUUAAAAUAAUUUUCUAAAAACUGCUAUUUAAGGAUAGUUUUCAUUUGUAUAGAGAAAUAUUGUAGAUUUGGGUUUGUGGUUUAGAAAUUAGGAUAACAAGAAUUUUUGUUGCAAUAUGAGUAUUCUUUUAGAAUUUUUGAUCAAUAGGAUGUAUUUUUAAAAUAAUUUUCUAAAAGCUGCUAUUUAAGGAAAAUUUUUAUUUUUAUAGUGUAAUAUUGUAGAUUUGGGAUUGUCAUUAAGAAAUUAGGAUAACAAGAAUUUUUUUAUGAAAGAUGAGUAUUCUCUUAGAAUUUUUGAUCAAUAUGAUGUAUUUUUUAAAUAAUUUUCUAAAAGCUGCUAAUUAAGGAAAGUUUUUAUUUUUAUAGAGAAAUAUUGUAGAUUUGGGAUUUUGAUUUAGAAAUUGGGAUAAAUAGAGUUUUUGUUGUUAGAUGUGUAUUCUUUUAGAAUUUUUGAUCAAUAUGAUGUAUUUUUAAAAUAAUUUUCUAAAAACUGCUAUUUAAGGAUAGUUUUCAAUUGUAUAGAGAAAUAUUGUAGAUUUGGGAUUGUGGUUUAGAAAUUAGGAUAACAAGAAUUUUUGUUGAAAGAUGAGUAUUCUCUUAGAAUAUUUGAUCAAUAGGAUGUAUUUUUAAAAUAAUUUUCUAAAGGCUGCUAUUAUAGGAAAGUUUUCAUUUUUAUAGAGAAAUAUUGUAGAUUUGGGAUUGUCAUUUAGAAAUUAGGAUAACAAGAAUUUUUUUUAUGAAAGAUGAGUAUUCUUUUAGAAUAUUUGAUCAAUAGGAUGUAUUUUUUAAAUUAUUUUCUAAAAGCUGCUAUUUAAGGAAAGUUUUCAUUUUUAUAGAGAAAUAUAGUAGAUUUGGGAUUGUGAUUAAGAAAUUAGGAUAACAAGAAUUUUUGUUGAAAGAUGAGUAUUCUUUUUGAAUUUUUGAACAGUAGGAUGUAUUUUUUAAAUAAUUUUCUAAAAGCUGCCAUUUAAGGAUAGUUUUCAUUUGUAUAGAGAAAUAUUGUAGAUUUGGGAUUGUUAUUUAGAAAUUAGGAUAACAAGAAUUUUUUAUGAAAGAUGAGUAUUUUUCUAGAAUUUUUGAUCAAUAGGAUAUAUUUUUUAAAUAAUUUUCUAAAAGUUGCUAUUUAAGGAAAUUUUUCAUUUUUAUAGAGAAAUAUUGUAGAUUUGGUAUUUUCUUUCAGAAAUUAGGAUAACAAGAAUUUUUGUUGAAAGACGAGUAUUCUCUUAGAAUUUUUGAUCAGUAGGAUGUAUUUUUUAAAUAAUUUUCUAAAAGCUGCUAUUUAAGGAAAGUUUUUAUUUUAUAGAGAAAUAUUGUAGAUUUGAGAUUGUCAUUUAGAAAUUAGGAUAAAUAGAGUUUUUGUUGUUAGAUGCGUAUUCUUUUAGAAUUUUUAAUCAAUAGGAUGUAUUUUUAAAAUAAUUUUCUAAAAGCUGCUAUUUAAGGAAAGUUUUUAUUUUUAAAGAGAAAUAUUGUAGAUUUGGGAUUGUCAUUUAGAAAUUAGGAUAAAUAUAGUUUUUGUUGUUAGAUGCGUAUUCUUUUAGAAUUUUUUAUCAAGAGGAUGUAUUUUUAAAAUAAUUUUCUAAAAGCUGCUAUUUAAGGAAAGUUUUUAUUUUUAUAAAGAAAUAUUGUAGAUUUGGGAUUUUGAUUUAGAAAUUGGGAUAAAUAGAGUUUUUGUUGUUAGAUGCGUAUUCUUUUAGAAUUUUUGAUCAAUAGGAUGUAUUUCUUAAAUAAUUUUCUAAAAGCUGCUAUUUAAGGAAAGUUUUCAUUUUUAUAGAGAAAUAUUGUAGAUUUGGGAUUGUGGUUUAGAAAUUAGGAUAACAAGAAUUUUUUUGAAAGAUGAGUAUUCUUUUAGAAUUUUUUAUCAAUAGGAUGUAUUUUUAAAAGUAUUUUCUAAAAGCUGCUAUUUAAGGAUAGUUUUCAUUUGUAUAGCGAAAUAUUGCAGAUUUGGGAUUGUGGUUUAGAAAUUAGGAUAACAAGAAUUUUUGUUGAAAGAUGAGUAUUCUUUUUGAAUUUUUGAACAGUAGGAUGUAUUUUUUAAAUAAUUUUCUAAAAGCUGCUAUUUAAGGAAAGUUUUUAUUUUAUAGAGAAAUAUUGUAGAUUUGAGAUUGUCAUUUAGAAAUUAGGAUAAAUAGAGUUUUUGUUGUUAGAUGCGUAUUCUUUUAGAAUUUUUAAUCAAUAGGAUGUAUUUUUAAAAUAAUUUUCUAAAAGCUGCUAUUUAAGGAAAGUUUUUAUUUUUAAAGAGAAAUAUUGUAGAUUUGGGAUUGUCAUUUAGAAAUUAGGAUAAAUAUAGUUUUUGUUGUUAGAUGCGUAUUCUUUUAGAAUUUUUUAUCAAGAGGAUGUAUUUUUAAAAUAAUUUUCUAAAAGCUGCUAUUUAAGGAAAGUUUUUAUUUUUAUAAAGAAAUAUUGUAGAUUUGGGAUUUUGAUUUAGAAAUUGGGAUAAAUAGAGUUUUUGUUGUUAGAUGCGUAUUCUUUUAGAAUUUUUGAUCAAUAGGAUGUAUUUCUUAAAUAAUUUUCUAAAAGCUGCUAUUUAAGGAAAGUUUUCAUUUUUAUAGAGAAAUAUUGUAGAUUUGGGAUUGUGGUUUAGAAAUUAGGAUAACAAGAAUUUUUUUGAAAGAUGAGUAUUCUUUUAGAAUUUUUUAUCAAUAGGAUGUAUUUUUAAAAGUAUUUUCUAAAAGCUGCUAUUUAAGGAUAGUUUUCAUUUGUAUAGCGAAAUAUUGCAGAUUUGGGAUUGUGGUUUAGAAAUUAGGAUAACAAGAAUUUUUGUUGAAAGAUGAGUUUUCUUUUAGAAUUUUUGAUCAGUAUGAUGAUCAAAAACAUACUCAUCUUUUAACAAAAACAAGAUUUUUCACCCGCACAUCCGUGCGGGUAAAUUUUUAUUUUAUAAAUAUAUAACAGAUACUAUCGCAAAAUUUUCAAAGAUAUAAUUUACAUUUUAGUGUUAUAUAAUAUGUAAAUCUAUAAUAUUAUUGGUUAUGUUUCUUUUUCGAUAUUAUUAAUGUAUAACGAUUUGUUUUAUACAUUUUACUUUAUUAUUAAUUGUUAUUAUAUAUAAAUAUAUUUUCGAGUUUGGUAUAAUAAAUUCAUAGUAUGAAAUAAACAAAUUGAGAAUCUCCUUCAUUUUUUUCUAAUUUUACAGACUGAAUACAAUAAAUUUUAAAAUUUUAUUUAGUUAUACUAUAAAACUGAUAUUUUCUUAGCAUAAUUUAUAUUUCUAUGUUAUUUAUUAUAAUAUAUUUUGGGAUUUGAUAAGUAAUAGAUUAUAAUAAUAAUAUAUUAUUAAUUAUGAAAUCAAUCGUUGCAUUAAUUUAAAAAUAUUUUAAAAUUUUAUUAAGAUUUUUUUUUUUGACAACAAUUUUAUUAAGAUUUUGUUAGAUUUUUUCCAACAUAUUUUGCUAUAAGUAAAAAUAAAAUUUAAAUUGACAGUUAAAAUUUAUUUAUUAAUAUCUAUAUAAUGUAUUAAUAUCUUUAUAUAUUUAAAAGAUUAAUAUAAAUAAUUAAAUAAAUAUAAUAAAUGAAAUGAACCUAAUAAUGCUAGUAUGACUUUUUUAUGGCAGAUAAAAAUGGUACUUCUCUUUUAAUAGAGAAGAUUCUUAUUAUCUUAUUUUCUAAAUGACAAUCCCAAAUCUAUAAUAUUUCUUUUUAAUAAUGAAAACUCUGUUUAAAUAGCAACUUUUAGAAAAUUAUUCAAAAAUACAUCCUAUUAAUCAAAAAAAUCUAAGAGAAUACUCAUCUUUCGACAAAUAUUUUUUUUAUCCUAAUUUCUAAAAGACAAUCUCAAAUUUACAAUAUUUCUCGAUAAAUAUGAAAACUUUCCUUAAUUAGCAGCUUUUAAAAAAUUAUUUAAAAAUAUAUCAUGUUGAUCAAAAUUCUAAAAGAAUAUUCAUCUUUCAACAAAAAUUCUUGUUAUCCUAAUUUCUAAAUCAUAAUCUCAAAUCUACAAUAUUUUUCUAUAAAAAUAAAAACUUUCCUUAAAUAGCUGCUUUUAGAAAAUUAUUUAAAAAAUAUAUCCUAUUGAUCAAAAAUUCUAAAAGAAUACUCAUCUUCCAACAAAAAUUCUUGUUAUCCUAAUUUUCAAAUGACAAUCUCAAAUCUACAAUAUUUCUCUAUAAUAAUGAAAACUUUCCUUAAAUACCAGCUUUUAGAAAAUUAUUUUAAAAAUACAUCAUAUUGAUCAAAAAUUCUUUAAGAAUACUCAUCUUUCAACAAAAGUUCUUGUUAUCCUAAUUUCUAAAUGACAAUCCUAAAUCUACAAUAUUUCUCUAUAAUAAUGAAAACUUUCCUUAAAUAGCAUCAAUUAGAAAAGUAUUUUAAAAAUACAUCCUAUUGAUCAAAAAUUCUAAAAGAAUACUCAUCUUUUAACAAAAAUUCUUGUUAUCCUAAUUUCCAAAUGACAAUCUCAAAUCUACAAUAUUUCUCUAUAAUAAUGAAAAUUUUCCUUAAAUAGCAGCUUUUAGAAAAUUAUUUUAAAAAUACAUCCUAUUGAUCAAAAAAUCUUCAAGAAUACUCAUCUUUCAACAAAAAUUCUUGUUAUCUUAUUUUCUUAAUGACAAUCCCAAAUCUGUAAUAUUUCUUUUUAAUAAUGACAACUCUGUUUAAAUAGCAACUUUUAGAAAAUUAUUUAAAAAUACAUCCUAUUAAUCAAAAAAAUCUAAGAGAAUACUCAUCUUUCAACAAAUAUUUUAUUUAUCCUAAUUUCUAAAUGACAAUCUCAAAUUUACAAUAUUUCUCGAUAAAUAUGAAAACUUUCCUUAAUUAGCAGCUUUUAAAAAAUUAUUUAAAAAUAUAUCCUAUUAAUCAAAAUUCUAAAAGAAUACUCAUCUUUCAACAAAAAUUCUUGUUAUCCUAAUUUCUAAAUCAUAAUCUCAAAUCUACAAUAUAUUUCUAUAAAAAUGAAAACUUUCCUUAAAUAGCUGCUUUUAGAAAAUUAUUUAAAAAAUAUAUUCUAUUGAUCAAAAAUUCUAAAAAAAUAUUCAUCUUUAAAAAAAAUUCUUGUUAUACCAAUUUCUAAAUCAAAAUCCCAAAUCUACAACAUUUCUCUAUAAAAAUGAAAACUUUCCUUAAAUAGCAGGUUUUAGAAAAUUAUUUAAAAAAUACACCCUAUUGAUCAAAAAUUCUAAAAUAAUACUCAUCUUUCAACAAAAAUUCUUGAUAUCCUAAUUUGUAAAUCACAAUCCCAAAUCAACAAUAUUUCUCUAUAAAAAUGAAAACUUUCCUUAUAUUGCUGUUUUUAGAAAAUUAUUUAAAAAUAUAUUAUAUAGAUCAGAAAUUCUAAAAGAAUACACAUCUAACAACAAAAACACUAUUUAUCCCAAUUUCUAAAUUAAAAUCCCUAAUCUACAACAUUUCUCUAAUAAAAGUGAAAACUUUCCUUAAAUAACAGGUUUUAGAAAAUUAUUUUAAAAAUACAUCCUAUUGAUUAAAAACACUAAAAGAAUACUCAACUUUCAACAAAGCUUCUUGUUAUCUUAAUUUCUAAAUCAUAAUCCCAAAUCUACAAUUUUUCUCUAUAAAAAUGAAAAUUUUCUUUAAAUUGCAGGUUUUAGAAAAUUAUUUAAAAAAUACAUCCUAUUGAUCAAAAAUUAUAAAAUAAUACUCAUCUUUUAACAAAAAUUCUAGUUAUCUUAUUUUCUAAAUCAUAAUCUCAAAUCUACAAUAUUUCUCUAUAAAAUGAAAACUUUCCUUAAAUUGAUGCUUUUAGAAAAUUAUUUACAAAAUAUAUCCUCUUGAUCAAAAAUUCUGAAAAAAUACACAUCUAACAACGAAAACACAAUUUAUCCCAAUUUCAAAAUCAAAAUCUACAACAUUUCUAUAUAAAAAUGAAAACUUUCCUUAAAUAGCAGCUUUUAGAAAAUUAUUUUAAAAAUACAUCCUAUUGAUCAAAAAUUCUAAAAUAAAACUCAUCUUUCAACAAAAAUUCUUGUUAUCCUAAUUUCUAAAUCACAAUCCGAAAUCUACAAUAUUUUUCUAUAAAAAUGAAAACUUUCUUUAAAUAGCAGCUUUUAGAAAAUUAUUUUUAAAAUACAUCUAUUGAUCAAAAAUUCUAAAAUAAAACUCAUCUUUCAACAAAAAUUCUUGUUAUCCUAAUUUCUAAAUCACAAUCUCAAAUCUACAAUAUCUCUCUAUAAAAAUGAAAACUUUCCUUAAAUUGCUGCUUUUAGAAAAUUAUUUAAAAAAUAUAUCCUAUUGAUAAAAAAUUCUAAAAGAAUACACAUCUAACAAUAAAAACAAUAUUUAUCCCAAUUUCUAAAUCAAAAUCUCAAAUCUACAACAUUUCUCUAUAAAAAUGAAAACUUUCCUUUAAUAGCUGCUUUUAAAAAAUUAUUUAAAAAAUACAUCUUGUUGAUCAAAAAUUUCUAAAAGAAUACUCGUCUUUCAACAAAAUUUUUUGUUAUCUUAAUUUCUAAAUCACAAUCCCAGAUCUACAAUAUUUCUCUAUAAAAAUGAAAACUUUCCUUAAAUAGCAGCUUUUAGAAAAUUAUUUAAAAAAUACAUCAUUUUGAUCAAAAAUUAUAAAAGAAUACUCAUCUUUCAACAAAAAUUCUUGUUAUCCAAUUUCUAAAUGACAAUCCCAAAUUUAUAAUAUAUCUCUAUAAUAAUGAAAACUUUGUUUAAAUAACAACUUUUAGAAAAUUAUUUAAAAAUACAUCCAUUAAUCAAAAAAAUCUAAGAGAAUACUCAUCUUUCAACAAAUAUUUUGUUAUCCUAAUUUCUAAAUGACAAUCUCAAAUCUACAAUAUUUCUCUAUAAAAAUGAAAACUUUCCUUAAUUAACAGCUUUUAAAAAAUUAUUUAAAAAAUAUAUCCUAUUGAUAAAAAAUUGUAAAAGAAUACCCAUCUUUCAAAAAAAAUUCUUGUUAUCAUUAUUUCUAAAUGACAAUCCCAAACUUACAAUAUUUCUCUAUAACAAUGAAAACUUUCCUUAAAUAGCUGCUUUUAGAAAAUUAUUUUAAAAAUAUAUCCUAUUGAUCAAAAAUUCUAAAAGAAUACUCAUCUUUCAAAAAAAAUUCUUGUUAUCCUAAUUUCUAAAUGACAAUCCCAAAUCUACAAUAUUUCUCUAUAAAAAAGAAAACUUUUCUUAAAUAAUAACUUUUAAAAAUUAUUUUAAAAAAUACAUCAUAUUCAUCAAAAUUCUAAAAGAAUACACAUCUAACAACAAAAACUCUAUUUAUCCCAAUUUCUAAAUCAAAAUCCCAAAUCUACAAUAUUUCUCUAUAAAAAUGAAAACUUUCCUUAAUUGGAGUUUUUAUAAAAUUAUUUGAAAAAUACAUCCUAUUGAUCAAAAAUUCUAAAAGAAUACACAUCUAACAACAAAAACACAAUGUGAUUGGACUGUCACGACUUCUUCUCGCAAUAGAUUCUCGAAGUGGAGAUGGUGUCCCUUUGCAACACAGUUAGAGAAAGAAAUAAACUCAGAGAACAUAGACGGUGGCGAUGAGGAGGAGGGAAACAUGGUUCGAGGAGGUGGAGAAAACCAUGGAUCAAUUUCUCAAAAUUUAUCAAAUAAAGGUAAAAGUAAAGAUGUGAAUAUAAUUACGCCACGAGUAAUUUGAAACAGAUAAUAACUAGGAUUUUUUAUUUUUAUUUUCUUCAGGUUUCACCGUUAUUAUUACAUAAAGUAGAAUGGAUGUAUCGAACAUCUAGGGUAUUUGGUUAUUUAGUGAAUUAUGUUUUUUUUUUUCAUAUACAGACCAAUUUCCAAAGUUUAUAUGGCAUAAUCACUUUUCUCCAUACGCUACCAUCGAAACAUUUACCGUUGCCAUCAAAUAGUACAAAAUCAAAAAAAAAAAGAAAAAAAAAUAAAUAGUACAACAUAGUACAAUUCGGGAGUAAAUCUGAUCUCUUAAGGUGGUCUUUUGGUGUAAAGACCAGUGAAACUCCGGGAAAAUGAGUUUUUAAUUCCUCAACUAAUUGAAAUCAGCACUUUUAAUACCCAAUUUUAUGUUGCGCAGAUUUAUUCCUAAAGUAAUGUUUAAUUUUGCAAAAUUGGAGCAAAAAGGAUUAAACGAUGCAAUAGUAAACAGAGACAUUAAAUCUAAAAAGCCAGAAGCAUUAUCAUCAAACUCUAUAGUUGCUUCUUCUUCUUCAUUCCUUAUCUCUUCUUCAACCAUUUUUUGUCUUUUCUGGAUUUAUUAGCUCUUCUUCUUCAAGCACAUUCCUUGUUUCUUUUUCGUUACUUAUCAGUUCAUCACUUCUAGUUGUUUCUUCUUCAGCCAAGAUAAUUAGUUUUCUUCAAGAGAGUUCGUCAUUCCUCUUUCAACAACAUUGCUUCUUUCUUCUUCUUUAGAAACAGUUCUAGAGCCAAAUUAAUGAAAAAGAUUGUAACAAAUAUUAACCAAAUACUACACAACUAAAGUAAUGAAGAAGAUUGAAUUUACCUUUUACUCUCUCUUGAUUUUGGAACUUCAGGUUCGACACAAUUCAAGGGUGUUCUUCGAAUUAGAAGCUUGUUUCGUCUUCCCUCACGCGUAGGGGUGUCAAAAUGGGUCAUGACCUAUGGAUCAACCCAAAUUGACCCAUUAACCCAAAUGAACUAUUUAUUUUUGAUCCAAUGGGUUAAAAGGUUAAUGGAUUAACAAGUUAAUGGGUUAACAAGUUAAUGGAUUUAUUGGGUUGGGUCAACUCUCACCCAUUUUGUUUUCAAUUAAAAAAACCAUGAGUAAACCCAAUUCUAAGGUUUGAUAAAAUUGAAAAAUCAUGAGUUUCUCUAAAAUCCAAUCAUUUAUUCGGUGGUAAAAUGCAUUUCCCGCCAAAACCACAAAAUAUGUUUUUCCGCCAAAACGACAAAACAAGUUUUCCCGCAAAAACUGCAAAACUCGUUUUCCCGCAAAAACGCAAUUUCCCGCCAAAACUGAAAAACCAAUUUUCCCGCAAAAACGCGUUUUCCCACCAAAACCGCAAAAAACGUGUUUUCCCGCCAAAACCGCAAAAUACAUUUUCCCGCCAAAACCGAAAAACACAUUUUCCCGCCAAAACCGCAAAAACGCAUUUUCCCGCCAAAACCGCAAAAACGUGUUUUCCCGCCAAAACCGCAAAAACACAUUUUCCCGCCAAAACCGCAAAACGUAUUUUUCCGCCAAAACCGCAAAAACGCAUUUUCCCGCCAAAACCGCAAAAAUGCAUUUCCCGCCAAAAUCUCAAAAACGCAUUUUCUCGCCAAAACGGCUAAAAACGCAUUUUCCCGCCAAAACCGCAAAAAACGUGUUUUCCCGCCAAAACCGCAAAAAUGCAUUUUCCUGCCAAAACCGCAAAAAACGUGUUUUCCCGCCAAACCCGCAAAAAUGCAUUUUCCUGCCAAAACCGUAAAAACGUAAUUUUCCGCCAAAACUGUAAAAAUCAGUUUUCCCGCAAAACCGCGUUUCCCACCAAAACCGCAAAAACUCGUUUUCCCGCAAAAACACGUUUCCCGCCAAAGCCGCAAAAACACGUUUUUCUGCCAGAACCACUUAACACGUUUUCACGCUAAAACUGGAAAAACUCACUUUCCCGCAAAAAUGCUAUUUUCCGCCUAAACCACAAAAAACAUUUUAUCAUUUUGAUCAACUUGGUCUUAACUUAAAAAUAAUUCAUUAUAAAGAUAUUGGGUUGAUGGGUCAACCAUUAACCCAUCUAACAUAUUUAUGUCAUGGGUCAACCCAACCCAUUUUAAUUAAUGGGUUGGGUUGACCCAUGACCCAUUAAUAGUAAACCCAUUUGGGUUUUGGGUUGGGUUGACCCAUUUGACCUAUUUUGACAUCCCUACUCACGCGUCCCAUGAAAUUUUUCACCAUCUCAUCACCUCAAAUUGUCUUUUUAUUUAAAAAUCUUUCUAGCAAUCGAAGAGAAUUUAGGGUUAUGAGUUUUCAAGGCAAAAAACAAUGGGAUUAAUGUUUUAAACUUAAUGUUUCUGUCAUUAAUUUAUGUUUAAUUUUUUGUAGUUUAAUUUUGUGCAAUAAACAUGAGAAAAAGACUAUGAUAGCACCAAACCAAGUUUAUGUUCCCAAAGUAGUACUCAAGGUUGUCAUUUUUGUGACUUUCUCCUUUUAGUACUAUUUUUGAGACAUAAACUUCAAAAGGUGCUAUUAUUGACAAUUGCCCAAUAAACAUUACUUCAUGAAUAAAUUUGCGCAACUUAAAGUUGGAUAUUAAAAACGCUAAUUUUAAAUAGAUGAUGAAUUAAAAACCCAUUUUCCCGUGAAACUCCCCCAUUUUUGAAGAAAAAGAUCACCAAUUUAGUUUAAUUAAUAAAUAAAAAAUCUAAAAAGCCAUGUUUUUUUUUUCUUUUUCUUAUAAACUAAAUACGAAAAGAUAGCUGUAUGGCCAACCUUCAUCACCUAAGAUUAUUAUCUGCUGAGUUUGACUUUUCUUGAGCUUUGACAAAAGGGAUAUUCUCAACCUCCCUACUCUUUCAGCCAUCGUUCCACACGCGCCUCCUUAGACAUCUCACGCGCCGCGGUGCCAUUCGAAUCAUGUAUCAUUUUCCUCCUCUCCUCUCCCUUCUGCAUCCAUAAAUUUCUGCUCAGUUUUCAUUCUUUCUCCUUUUCUUUAUUCCGACAAUUCGUUCUUUGUUGUUUAAUCUUUUGUCUUUUGUCUUUGUCUCCACAAGAUCUUUGGAGAAAGGUGAAAAAGUUAUAUGGGAGGGGUAACGUCGUCAAUCGCUGCUAAAUUCGCCUUCUUCCCACCAACGCCACCGUCCUACGAGGUGGUAGCCGACGAAAGCUGCGGCGGACGUCUGUACAUACCGGAAAUCCCACGGCGCGACGACGUCGACAUCCUCAAGCUCCGCACUCGCUGCGGGAACGAGAUCGUGGCUGUUUAUGUCAAACACUCCAAAGCUAAUGCCACGAUUCUCUAUUCUCAUGGUAACGCCGCCGAUGUGGGACAAAUGUUUGAGCUUUUCGUCGAGCUUAGCAAUCGCCUUCGCGUCAAUCUCAUGGGGUAACUCUCUUUCAAGCUUCUCACAUGUUUAAAAAUUACAUCUUUCUUGCAAAGUGUGUGUGUUUGAUUCAUUACCAUUGUUGUCUGAUAAGUCAAACGAAUUUUUUAUUCCAUCAGGUAUGAUUAUUCUGGUUAUGGUCAGUCUACAGGACAGGUACUACUUUCUGUUAUAAUAAGAAAUAAACUUUAUGGAUUGUUUUGUUAUUGAUGUGUGAACUUUUAUGGUACUUGAAUCAGGCAAGCGAGUCAAACACAUAUGCUGAUAUAGAAGCAUCGUAUAAAUGCCUUAAGGAAAAGUACGGCGUGAAAGACGAUCAACUUAUAUUAUAUGGUCAAUCUGUUGGUAGUGGACCUACGGUUGAUCUAGCUUCACGCACACCUAACUUGAGAGGGGUGGUUUUACAGUGUCCUAUUCUGUCUGGGAUGAGGGUUUUGUAUCCUGUGAAAUGUACAUAUUGGUUUGACAUUUACAAGGUGAUUUACUGGAUGUUAAUUUUUUUUGUUUUGUUUAUGGUUACAUUUUAUAGCUGUUCGUUCACCUGUGCAUUUCCAUGUUCUUUUUACAGAAUAUUGACAAGAUCGGCUCCGUAGCAUGUCCUGUAUUAGUCAUCCAUGUAAGUGACAACAUCAUGUCUUUCUUUCCUUUUCAUUAUGAGAGUGAUUGAAUUAACAGCUCUCUUCAGAAGAAAGGUUGUUAUGCAUUUAUCUAGGAAGUUUUUGAAUGCAAGUUCGCUGAAGGAUAUUGUUGGUCUUUCAGGGAACUGCGGAUGAAAUAGUUGAUUAUUCUCAUGGAAGACGUCUCUGGGAACUCAGCAAAGAGAAGUAUGAGCCUUUGUGGAUAAGUGGAGGUGGACACUGCGACCUUGAACUAUAUCCAGAUUUCAUUAAACAUCUAAAGAAAUUUGUUGCAUCACUUGCCAACAAACAAGCGGCGAAGGCUGACAUAUAACGAGAUCACCGAUAUGUUUGAAAUGGGUUGCUUUCGAGGGGUUUAUAGACAAGUUGGCUGGCGAAGUCAGUAGAAAAGUGAUAAGCUUGAAAACUCCCAGAGGAGCGUUGAUAGAUCAUGUAGUAUUAUAAUGUGUCGAUGUGGAAUUUAGACUGGUAUACUACAUUUCAUGAAUAAAUGUAUUUACUGCUCAUGUGAUUUAAUAGGUUCUAGGGAUAUUUCUUUCUUUAUACAAUUUUUUUUUUUGAAUUCUAGAAAGCUGGGGUUGAAUCCCGUAUUCCCCAAACCUGAAACCAGAUUAUAGAAUAAUAAUAGUUUCGUCUAGUAGUUACUCAAACCAGAGACCUCUGAUACAAAGGUCAUGAUCCUUUCCGGUUUAUGCAAAUAUUCAUUCAACAUACUUCUGUGUAAACUGAAAUAUCCUCUGAAACACUAGAAGAUUCUGGAAGAGGAGCUGUGGCAAUUUGUAGAACAGGCCUAGGAGGGACUUCAAGAGCUUCUAGACUUCCUUCCAUCAUCUCUACCACUCUGUUCAUCGGCGGGCGAUCUGAAGGGGAAUACUGAACACACCACAGACCCACCAAUGCCAUCUUCCUUGCUAUCUCCUCUUCUUCAUUGCUGAUUACAUUCCCGGUAGGCGUUCCACUAUGUCCCUUCUCAAGAUCCUUAUAGAUCCAUUCUGGAAAGUACAUUGAGCUUGUGCUAGAUGCAGUGUCUUCAGUUGAUGUUUUAGUCCUUGCUCCUAUCAUCUCAAGAACCAACAUUCCAUAGCUAUACACAUCUGACUUGUGUGAGACUCUACCGUACACUCUUGAAAACACUUCAGGUGCAAUAUAUCCUAUCGUACCUCUUGUGUCUAGUAAUGACAAGAUGCUUUCUUUCCUCUCGCAGAGCUUAGCAAGGCCAAAGUCUGAAACCUUGGGGCAAAGAUUUCCAUCUAAGAGUACAUUUUGUGGUUUAAUGUCGAAAUGUACAAUCCUUGUUCUGCAUCCAUGGUGCAAGUACUCUAGACCACGAGCCACGCCUAAUGCGAUUCCAUAUAGUUCCAUCCAAUCCAUAUUUGAUGAUCUCUUGCUUGAGAUGAACUUAUCAAGAGAUCCAUUUUCCAAGAAUUCAUAAAUAAUCGCUCUCUUGGUACCCUCAGCACAGAAUCCUAGCAAGGUAACAAUGUUGACAUGAGAUGUCUUGCUCAUGCUUGCAACUUCGUUAACGAAGUCUUCACCAUUACCCGUUGUAUCAUUCAAGACCUUCACAGCAACCUUGCGGCCAUCACAAAGGGUUCCUCUAUAAACAAUUCCAAAUCCUCCUUUCCCAACCACUUCAGAAAAUGACUUUGUAAUUCUCUUUACUUGCGCGUAGCUAUAGUGUUCUAGUGGCAUAAGGGCCUUUAGAUUAAGUUGUCUAGGAACAUCUGAUGUCUUCCUUCUCCAUAUGAAGAGACAGAACAGAACUACGGCUAUAAGAAUAACCCCCACCAACCCGCAAGCAGAUCCGGUUCCUAGAGACCAACAAUUUUCAUAGUAAGUCUAUGCUGCUGGCAUAAAAUUUGAUCAAAUAGACCAAGAAAAGAGUAAGCACCUGCUUUUGCAGCAGUAGAAAAGCCUGCAUCAACAGGAUGAGAAAAAGAAAAGCUUAGUAUAAACUUUAAAAGAAAAAAAUUAUAUCUUACUAGAAAUGGUACUAAACACUUGAAAUCCAAUGGAGUUUUUUGUAAAUUAAUCUAAGAAUGGGAGGAAGAUCCUAUAAAAAGGGUAAGCACCUGCUUUUGAGGCAGUAGAGAUGUCUGCAUGAACAGGAUGACAAAAAGAAAAGGUCAGUCCAAACUUUAAAAGAAAACUGUAUAUUAUUCUAAGAAUGCAAGGAAAAUCCAAUCAGAAGGUGGGAUAUUGAGGAUGGGUGGAAGCACAUUAGGGAUAGAUAUCAUUUACAAAAGAAAUCUUACCUUGGUCUCCGCAGAAACUGCUAUGCGGCUUAUCUUCACAAUAGCAGACGAAACUCUUUGAGGUUUGGCUAUAUCCACAAGAGCCUCCAGAUAUUAAGCACCGUGAACAAUCAGGACUAACUUCAAGCUCGAAACCUUCUCAAGAGCCUUCUCUAAACUAUCCGGACUAGGACUCCCCUCCAUUUCGUUCAAAGCAUUUAUAGACACAGGAAUAGUUACGUCUCUUCUGCAAAUUGCCUUGUCUAUAAGGCCACUGAUCUCGUUAGGUAAAGGGGAGGACAUGUUUCUUGUCACAUAGUAACUUUUUCUAUCGCCUAUAUCAUCCUCGCAACCAAGCUCUCCAAAGAAAUUACUACCAGUAGUAGCUGGUAGUGAAAAGCUGUUGCAGUCGUAAUAUAAUGUAAGUAGAUCGUUAUCACGCGUAAUUUGAAGAACACUUUGGUCAAAUGGUGCAUCUCGAGUAUCUGCGGGACAAAGAUUUCCUAUAUAAUCCGAUCUGCCAAGACUAAUGACAGGAGAUCCAUAGCUCAUACUUAAGAUUCUGUACUUCACAGAGGAAAUGUUCAGUUCAGCGAAUUCUCCACUACAGUCGAGCUUGAAGUCGGGGUGGCCGCAGCUUUCUCUCUCUGAUCUCCAGAAAGGGUAAUAGAGUUCUUUCUGAUCGCCACACCUAAAGGGGCCACUGCAGCGUUGGUGAAGUACAUCUACUGUGAAAACACAAGAUGGGAUCACAAGCAAUAUCCAUAUGAUUCUAGACAACAUAGAUUUUGUUGGGGAACAAAAGAGAUUGAUCAUUGUUUUGGAGCCCUCGAGGUCAAAUACGAAAAUGGUGUAGAAAGAAGCUAUGAAGGCAUUGGUGAAUAUUGGUAAACGAUGAAAAGGAUAACGGAAUAGUGAUUCAAAAGAGUUUUUUCUUUUCUUUUCUUUUUUUUUUGUUUAUAGAAUAUAAAACGAGUUCCCACUAAGCACAACGCAGAGUUGGGUUCUACUUUGACGACUUCAAAAUCAGGGGCUUGGAAUUUUCUCAGAUGGACCACCAGCGCGCAGUCCCUUUCGGUCAUUGUCGUUUUUCUGCUAGAAAGAAUCUAAAGAAAUUUCGGAGAAAUGGAGUGUGGAAUAAGGCAAAGAAACCAUUUACUACUGGAACUGACUGGUGACAGAAGGAAGGUUCAAACAAUAAAUGCAGUGCUAAUAAGGCCCGGAACUUCAACUUGGUAACUAAAAACAAAAUAUAUAUAGUAACUUACUAAAAAUAAUCUCGCAUCAGAUUUCACUUAAUCAAGGAUUAUAUUUAUGGUUGCAGAAUUAUAAGUUAGAGAGUUGAAAAAAUGGUUGCAGAAUGAGAAAAAAUUGUAAAAUGAUAUCUAGAAUCAAGGGGAAUCAUCCGAUGUUUUUUUAUAUAUAAACGCAACUCUAGCUAAAGGUUGUUAAAGAAGAUGGCUGUGAAACGAUGAUGAUAUAUGAGAAACUUACUAUGAGGUAGAUGGAGUGCGUUGCAUCUUGAUGAUGAGUCAUUCUUGCAGCAGAUCUGUGUUGUAUUAUUGAAGCCGCAGAUUCCUUGAGAGGACAAACAUUGUUCACAUGUUUGUUCAUCAAUCUUCACUUUCACAUCAAACCCUUCAUGCAAAGCAUUUUCCAAAUCGGCCAGGUCGUUCAUUUUUGUAACGAAACUCCUAGGAACGUUCGCGGUGAAACAGGCAAGGCAGAAUUUGCAAUCUUCAGGGUUGUCAGACACAAACAUCAAACCUGUCUCCGGACAUUUAUAUCCCUGAAAGUGGAGACCCAAAGGGUUGCAAUUAUAGACUACUGUGACACUCUUGUAGGUUGAGGAAAGCUUGAAUAAGUUUGGAGGCAAGGUUGUGUUGGUGAAGUUAGAGGAGCAAAAAGAGCCCACAUGGUCUGUUCUGGCAAGUCUAAGAGAGUUAGAUAAUUGAUUUAUAUGUAGAACACGGAACUCUUGAUCUGAGAUGGAUAAAGAGGUGAUGUUUUUGUUGCAGUGAAGCUCCAGCGGUGAAUGACCGCAGAGUUUGUCACGAUUCCCACCCCAGAAAGGAAAACCGGCCGUGAUGUUCCCACACUGAAACAUGGUCUCACACCUUCCAAGUUCUUGUUUACUUGAAGCAAAAGGAAAAUGGUGAAAUAAAAAGAAGAUGAAGAAUAGGACCAUAGAAGAAGUGGAAAGAUAAUACAUGAUUUGCUUCAUCUAUGUAGGGUGUUUGUUUUUGGUUUGGUUUGUGUUAAGGAGAGCAGAGAUUGUGAUUUAAAAAGAGAGAACAGCAUAGAAAUGAGGUGGAAAUGAUGAAGAGCCUAAGGACCAAGCCAAAGUAAGGAUAGUGACAGAAGCGAAACUUAAGGACAGUGUUUAGUAUACGUUGAAGGACUUUUGUUAUUUGUUUCAUCUUUUAUACAAGCUAAAAAUUGAAGACUUCUCUUGCUAUUGUAUAAGACUCUAUUUAAGCAGUUAUCUAAGUUUCGAACUGCCGAUGAUUAUGGGAAUAAAGUAGAGUAUAUGUUGGAAUUGUUUUUUGAACAAAUGGAUAUAUGGCCAAUAUUCCAGUAGACUUUCCGACAAUUUGAUUGUUAGAAGGGAGAAUGAUCAGAUCUUAUAAACAUUGGAUUCUUUGUUGUGAGCAUUAUGAGAUAGUGUUUUAUAUGUCAAAAAUGGUGUUCCAAAGUGUGACUUACAAAGUUUGUAAGACUUUAAAUUUAGCUAAAUGUAAAAACUAGCAAUACACACAUUAGAUAUUGGGGUUCGAAUUUGAACUUAAAUUUCUUAAAUAAAGUUUAUAUAAUAACUUAUGAUUUAAAUCAUAUUCAUGAUUAUCUUAUAUUUGUUUAAAUAUAAAACUGUUAGAGCAGCUCUAUUGAACUAAUAAAAGUUUUUUGUUUAUAAUCCUGAUUUUUUCCCCUAAGCAUUUGAUAUGGAGAUUUGUUGGAUAGAAGCUGUGAUGGAGUCCUGUUGAUAAGAAAGAUAUCAGUUAAAACACAAUCUCUCUAAAUGGCAGAGAAACACCAGAUUGAAACAUAUGAGUUCGAGAACAUUUUGAUGCGUUAUUUCCACUACUGAAUUCUGCUCUGGAGUCUCUGGGCAAGAAUGAAAGGAUGUGAUUCCCUUCUCUUUGUAAUAUUGAGUAAAUCGCAGUUCAGAUGAAUUGUCUGAUCUCACAGACUUGACCUUUGUAUGAAACUGGUUUUCAAACUGUUGUAUUAAUGUAGUUCUUCAUGUUUGUUUGGAAGUAAGUGUGGUUUGACAUUUCUGAAAACUAAUGAAAAUUAUCGCAAAGGUAGGGUCAGUUUUUGGAAAAAGUGACCACUGCAGACUCCAAGCUUUUUCCUUAGCUUUCAGGUUCACGCAAACAUAAGUUUAAAGGGGAGUGUUUUGAUUCAUGGUUGGGUGAGAUCUACAAAAAGGAAAUAAAUAUUAACACAGAAGUGUUGUGUUUUUUCUCCUGUUUUCCUUUGGAUCAGAAAAUGCUAAUGAUAUUAUUAUUUGGUUAAUUCCUUUUUUCUGAAAACAAUGUAUUCUCUUUUUUUUUUAACACAGAAAACAAUGUGUUCAAGUGAUCCUUUUUUAUCUGAAUAACAUUUAAAUUUUACACUCACGCACAGUAGGUUUGCUCAUAAACUAAAAGCAUUUACAGUUUAUGGAGAAAAUCAUACCCUACAGUCAGUCAUUAGGGAAUGAAUUCUCCUGUAACAUACUUUUGUAUAAAUAUAAUUGUUGCAUGGUUUUGUGCUUCACGAGGUAUCGUUCUUUAUGCGACAUCCAUUGAACAUACAUCUUUGUAACUCGAUAUAUCCUCUGACAGCGUAGAAGUUUCUUGAAAUGGUGCUGCGGGAAUUUGGAAAACAGGUCUGGGAGGGACUUCAAGAGAAUCCACACUUCCUUCCAUCAUUUCUACCACUCUGUUCAUCAGCGGGCGAUCUGAUGGGGAAGGUUGAAUACACCACAAACCAACCAAUGUCAUCUUCUUUGCCAUCUCCUCUUCUUCGCUGGUAAUUACAUUCCUGUUAUGCUUUCCACUGUCUCCCUUUUCAAGAUCCAUAUAUAUCCAUUCAGGAAAGUACAUUGAACUUGCAUUUGAUUCAGAAUUUUGACCAGCUCGUUCUUUGUUCCUUGCUCCUAUCAUCUCAAGAACUAACAUUCCGUAACUAUACACAUCUGACUUGUGUGAAACUCUGCCGUACAUUCUUGAAAACAAUUCAGGAGCAAUGUACCCUAUUGUACCUCUUGUGUCCAGCAUUGACAAGAUGCUCUCUUUCUUCUCACAAAGCUUAGCAAGGCCAAAGUCUGAAACUUUGGGGCAAAGAUUGUCAUCUAAGAGUACAUUAUGUGGUUUUAUGUCGAAAUGUACAAUCCUUGUUUUGCAGCCAUGAUGCAAAUACUCUAUCCCACGAGCAACUCCUAGUGCGAUCCUGUGAAGUGUCAUCCAAUCCAUGUCCACCGAGGUCUUGUUUGAGAUGAAUUUAUCAAGAGACCCAUUUUCUAGAAAUUCAUAAAUAAUUGCUCUCUUGGAACCUUCAGAGCAGAAUCCAAGCAAGUCAACAAUGUUAACAUGAGAAGUUUUGCUCAUGCUCCCAACUUCAUUGAUGAAGUCUUCCCCAUCACUCUUUGAGUCUUUCAAAAUCUUCACUGCAACACGGCGACCGUCACAAAGGGUUCCUCUAUAAACAGUGCCAAAUCCACCUUUCCCAACCACUUCGGUAAAUAACUUUGUAAUUCUCUUUACUUGCGCAUAGCUAUAGUGUUUUAGUGGAAUAAGGGCCUUUAGAUUUUGUUGUCUUGGAUCAUCCGACGUCUUCAUGCGCUGGGUGUUGUAACAGAACCAGCUUACGGAUAAAAGAAGUAACCCCAAAAAUGUAACACCUGCCGCGAUUCCUAGAGAUACAAACACAGAUUACAUGGUUUCAUAAUAAGAUUAUGAUAAUCAAAUCAGGUUUUUCGAACGAAAAGGGGAAGGGCGAGCACCUAUUUUUACUUCAUAAUUGGGGCCUGGCCAGUCCAUGCAUCAGUAAAAUUGCAGUAAGAAAAUAUCAGUUAGACCUGAAGAAAUAACUUUUGAAUCUCCUAUUAGAAAUUAAAAAAAAAACCUGGGGAUAUCAAGAGGUUGCAUAUAAAUGGUUAUCAGAAAUUUAUUUUAAAACCACUAGGCUAAAGUCACUUUUUAUAAAUUUGUGGCCGCGAAAAUACUUAUUAUCGUGUCGGCUGGAAGCCCAUGCUUCUUCUGCUUGUGGCCAGGGCCGACACUGAACUGACGUCAAGAUAAAGAUCGUGAAGUUAAAAACUUUGCUCCAAAAAGUUUUUUGCAAUGUUUCCAACUUUAAUAACUUGAUGCAUAUAAUAUAUAUCAAAAUACAUUUGUUGUACACGCUUUAUUAGUUUUGCUUUUAAAAGAAGGUAUUUACAGUUAUAAAUGUUUUGUGCCAGUGAAGUAAUGGUUGAAAAACCUCUAUAAAUAUGUCAUUUUAAAAUAACAGCAACUUCUAUAUAUAGUCAAUACAUAUGUCCAUGUUAUAUUCUAGACUAAAUAUUUUCUCUUUUAAAAAUAUAGAAAACAGUUUGUUUAGUCUACAAGUAAAUGUUGUAGAGCAAGUAUGCAUUAUACAAAAUAAUAUAUAUUUAAAAUCCAUACGCAAAAACAUAAAAGUUGUUAUAAGCCUCUUUCUGACACAUGCACACUCCACUAUGAAUAAGAAUUUAAAAAAAACAGUAUUGUCAUCAAACUUUAUCACAAAUCCACAUUUGUACAUCUAUAAUUAUAACAUGGACAAUUAGUUAAUUUGAUACAAUACCAAAGUAAGAAUAAUCGAAAAACAACUAUACCACCGCAUACUAAUAAGUAACACAUAACAGAUAACCAAAUUCUUGAAUCUUAAAACAAAUUUCAACUCGAGCAUUUAGUGAAUAUCAAAUUAACUAAUAUCCCGCCCGUCCUACGGGCCGACCCUAGUUGUUGUAAUUCCUAUGCUUUUUUGUUAAAGCUUUUUCUAGGGGUUGGUUUCUCUUUUAGCAAACUUAUAAAAAACUCACGGAUGAAAUUUCAUACUUUGUAUCAAUUUCAAAAUAUAUGAUGUUUUGGAUCUAUACACAAUUAUUAAAAAAGUUGUUUUUUGUUAAAAAUAUUAUUAAAAUAUAAAUUAAAAGCUAUUCAACCAGAUACAAAAUAUUAUUGGUUAAUAUUUUAAUAAUGAUAAAAGUUAUUUAGAAAAAUGAAAACAUCAAAAAACUCCUUUAAACAUUAUACAUUAUGAAACAUAAGAAGUAUUGUUUAUGCUAAUUUGAAAUACUUUAUAACCACCAGAAAUCCAGAAUAAUAAUGUGGCCCCUCUAAACAAUAGCAGAUCAUACCUCUUGUGGUCUGAUUAUAUAAAGCACAUUCAACAAUCUGUGUUAACUUCAAGAGACUUCUUUAGAUUAUGCUUAUUCUGCAGUGUACGCCCGGACACAAAAACACUGACGUUUUUCUGCAGAUUACCCUGACUUCUUCUAAAAGGUCACUAAUCCCCUUGAGGUAAAAAGGCACGAGGGGGUGGUGAAAAUAAUAAUAUUUAAUUAAAAUCCUACUAAUUUAGGACCAUUCUAAGAAAAAUAUAAACAUGACCCUUAAGAAUUUGUAUGAUUCGGGGGAAAAACGAGAUAAUCAUUACAUGCUAUUUGUGUUGUGCAAAAUUGAUUUGUUGAAACUAAUCUUACAUGUAAUCACAUAAAUAAUAGAAGUGAAACUUGAAUCUAAAUGAUAAACGACUAACCUUGGACAUCCUUACACGAGGAGUUGUAAGGCUUGUCUGCACACAGGCACAUGAAAUUUCCCGAUCGUACCUCCGAACCACAAAUCCCUUUGGACUUGGUACAAGCUUGGCAAACAUCGUCUUCACUAUCGUACCUCAAAUCGAACCCUUUUUCCAAAGCCAUCUUCAAUGAUUGAUCUGAGGCAUUCGACUGCUGAAGAAGGUUCUUAGCAGACGCAAGCAUCGGAAUUUCUCCAACCAUGGUACAAUUUUGAGGAGGAUUAGUUGAUCCAAAGGCAUGAUAUGUUAUUAGAUUGCUAUUGCUUAGUUGGCAAGUAAUCGUUGACGAAGUUGUCACCGGGUUAUUACUGGGACAAUUGAAUAGAAAGAUUGUCUCGGUGUUAUGGUUUAAUGUGAACUGCAUAGCCCCCGUGAAGUUGAAAAUCUGUGGGCAACCAUCGUGUAAGAAACUCUCAUCGGCUACAGUGAUUAUCUUGUUAUCCAGAUUCGCAGAAACAACACGAAGUGUGAAAUUCUCGAUUUCUAGGGUUAAAUUUUGAUUCUCCUUGCAGGAAAGCUCGAACUCUGUUUGACCGCAGAAAUUGGGUUUGCCGAUGCUAUUACCCCAAAAUGGGUAAGUGAUGUUCGGGAACAACACCGACGGUUCCGAUCCACAUCUCAGAGGUAAUCGGCACUCCUCGUACUGUUGGUCAGCGGAGAAGCACGACGGGAAGCUAGCGACGGAGAAGACUACUAAGGUGAUGAAGAGCGGAGGAUACAUGGAAACUGGGUUUGAGGAAAUCUAACCACAGAAAAUACUUUUUCUCUGAUCUGUUGAGAGGCUAGGGACUUUUAUUUUAUUUUCAUUUCUUUUCUAUACGUAUAAAUUCUUUACUCAUCAACUUACAAAGUCAGGAUACAAUGAUGUAGACAUUUCAAGAUGAGCAUCUCUAUAAUAUUAGUUACUUUUUGUAAAUAUUAUACAUGAUUUUACUGCUCAUAUUAAAAGAAUCAAAAUAUCAUGUAUAAUUUACAAAUUGCAACAAUUUUUUUUUUUUUUAACUAUGAAUGUGCAAACUAAAUAUAUCUAAUUUUCUAUUAGCAUAAUUAUAGAAGAUAAUAUAAAUAAGAGUAUCUAUUUUAUAUAUCAUUGCUAUAAAUAAACUCAGCUAAUAAGAGUAGCCCAUCUGGUGUGAUGAUCGCUGCUCCUUCUGUUUGAAUCUCCGAUUUGUUUUCACUAAAACCUUGGAAAGUGAACUCUGUUGUUGGUGGUGUCUUCGUACGCUGAGCUUGAACAGAGAAGCUCAAAAGCUGGAUGAGUAAGAACAAAAAAGAGACCAUGAAUCUAGACAUAGGAAAUCAAGAACAGAGAGAACGGGUCAGAAGAUAAUUGGAUAUUACAGGGGACUAGGGGAGUUUGGUUUAUCCUUGGUGAUUCGAUGAUCAUGCAAGUCGUAAGAGCGAGAAGGAAUUUUCAAAGUUCUGAACAAGAAAAGUCUUUUCUUUCUUUUCAACGGUUUGUUCACAAUCACACACGCACACACACAUAUCAACGAAUUUAUUACAUUCCAAUCCGACAAGACGCUUUCAACACACUGAACCAGCUUUUCUUGUAUACUGAGAGCAUGAUUAACUCGAAGUUCUUAGGAUGAGGUUCUUAGAACCGAUUCUUAGCUUUUUUAGUUAAAAGUUAAGAAACAGUUUCUUAACUUCCGCUAAGAACUUCAUUCUAAGAACUUCGGGUUAAUUAUGGUCUAAAAUACAUUGUUCUCUAUUUGUUAAGCAAAUAACAUAAAUAACUAUAACUUUUUAUUACAUAAAUGACUUUCACGGCAAGAAGAUUCCAGUUUUCAUUUUGCAGAGCAUACCAAUACUUCGGAAGCGCUUGAACCCUCCCCAGAAUCCCAAAAAGAUUGAGAAAGCCGUGCUGCUGGAAUUUGUUGCAAGACAGGCGUAGGAGGCACUUCAAGAGCUUCAAGGCUUCCUUCCAUCAUCUCUACUACUAUGUUCAUCGGAGGGCGGUUUGAUGGGGAAGACUGUAUACACCACAAACCCACAAUUUUCAUCUUCUUUGCUAUCUCCUCUUCUUCGCUUCUGAUUCCAUACUCGGCAGGACUUACAUUGUCUCCUUGCUCGAGAUCUUGGUAUAUCCAUUCGGGAAAAUACAUCGAGCUUGCAUUCGAUGCAGAGACUUGAUCAACUAUUUCUUUCUUCCUUGCGCCUAUCAUUUCGAGUAGUAGCAUCCCAUAGCUAUACACAUCUGACUUGUGAGACACACUCCCAUACACUGGGGAGAACAUCUCUGGCGCAAUGUACCCUAUUGUCCCUCUCAUAUCUAGCAGCGAUAUUAUGCUCUCUUUUUUCUCACAGAGUUUAGCAAGUCCAAAAUCAGAAACUUUGGGGAGAAGAUUUUCAUCUAACAGCACGUUCUGAGGUUUAAUGUCGAAAUGCACGAUCCUUGUUUUGCAGCCAAAGUGCAAAUACUCUAACCCCCUAGCAACUCCUAGUGCAAUCUCAUACAGUGCCGUGAAGUCCAAAUUCAUUAUGUUGGUGUUUGAGAUGAACUUAUCAAGCGAGCCAUUCUCUAGAAAUUCAUAUAUGAUGGCUCUUUUUGAACCUUCGGAGCAGAAUCCAAGUAAGGAAACAAUGUUGACAUGAGAUGUUUGGCUCAUGCUGGCAACUUCAUUGAUGAAGUCUUUGCCAUUAUUGUCCUUUGAAUCUUUCAAGACCUUCACCGCAACCAUACGGCCGUCACAAAGGGUUCCUCUAUAAACAACUCCAAAUCCUCCUCUCCCAACCACUUCUGCAAAUGACUUUGUAAUUUUCUUCACUUGCGCAUAAGUAUAGUGUUUGAGUGGUAUAAGAGCCUUUAACUUCUCAUGUCUCCUCUCAUCUGAUGUUUUUCUCUUGCGGAAAAUUUGGACCCCGAAACAGGGGCAUAAUAAUACCACCAGCGCAAUAAUACCUGUUAGUGAACACAAACCUAAAAUAACAUAGAAAACGUUUGGUUAGUAACGUUUUCAUAAUGUAGGAAGAUCAAAAACAGUUAUAAAUAUCUAUCUGGGAAGCGAAACUAACCUACGAGAAUAAUGAUCACAAUAACUGCAGAACCAUAAAAUAAAAUUUGUCAGCAUAGAACAAAACUUUUGAAAGGAAAAGAGCAAUUGGAGAAAAACAAUGGUUUAGAGGGAGGAUAAAAAAAAGUCAUUCGAAGAAGGUUACGCACCUAUGCCCUCUAUAAGAUCAGCUCCUGCAUAAAUUAAAUGGAUACAAAAGAAAGUCAGUUUGAGCUGGAGACAGAGCUCUGAACACAAACGAAAAAACAAAAACUUGAAACUAAAGGAAGGUUUGUAAAUAAUCUGAUCAAAAGGUGGGUGGGCGAUUGUGGAAGAGAAAAAGAGUUGGUUCUUGGCGAAGGACAUUAGGAAACAAGACCAUGAAUGAAAGAAAACUUACGGUUGUGUGUCCGGCAUGAACUAUUACGCGGUCCAUCUUUGCAAUAACAGACAAAAGCGCUUGAGGUCUGAUUAUAUCCACAAGCACCGUCAGAGCCUUUGCACCUCUCACAAUCCGAGUUAAUAUAAAGUUUGAAACCUUGUUCAAUAGCCUUCUUUAGAUUAUAUGUAUUCGGACUCCUCUGCAGCGUCUCCAGUGCAGAUCCAGAUGCAGGAAUACUGACAUUUCUUUUACACAUUCCCCUGAAGUUCUCUAAAAGACUUCUAAUAUCGUGAAGUGAAGGGGACGUGAGGUUUUUUGUCACAUAGUAAUUUCUUCUGCCAUUCCCAGAAAGAAGCUCUCCAACAUAAUAACUAUGGGGGAUAAGUGGUGAGAAGUUUGGGCAGUCAUAAUAAAUUGUUACAAGCUCAGUGUUAUGGGUGAAGGAAACAACAUUUUCAUUGAACUGCGCAUUCAGUGGGUUUCUGGGAUAAAGAUUAUCAAUAUAAUCUGUUCUUAUGAGUGUUGUCUCAUAGUACCUACUAUCUAUGAUUCUGAACUUCACAGUGGAAAUGUUGAGCUCUGCAAAAUCUCCGCUACAGUUGAGCUCGAACUCUGGGUGGCCACAUGCUUUUCUACCAGGUUUCCAGAAAGGAUAAUUCAGAUGUACCUGAUCGCAACAGCUAAACGUCGUACUGCAGAGUUUGUAAAGCUCACCAGCUGAUAAAAAAUAAGAUGGGUUCAAAAACAGCAUCAAUAUUAUUUAUUUACGCCAAAAAAAUUGGUUAUGAGACUGAGAUUGGUUGAUCAUUAGUUCCUUAUGUUGUCCUUUUUCUUCGAGGUCAGGAAAAUGAUUACGGAUUAGGUAAACAUGUGCUUGAGAAAAUUGAUGCUAACUUACCACUUGAUACACCAGGAAGAUGGCUGAAAGAGGAGAAGAUGGCAAAUAAUAUCAAACAAAAACUAAAGGGAUAGUUCAUUCUUGAAAAGUGUGUAUUCUGUCUUUGGUUACUGUUAAAGAGGAGCGGAGCAAGUGGUUUAACGCGAGAGAGACCAAAUAUGAAAGGGAAGAGCUUUUCUAUUCGCAUGGCUUUCUUAAUUAGGCUUUUCAUUUGGUGCUAAUCAUUUUUCCGUUGGACACUGUUAAUAUGACUAAUACGUUGCUGCUGAAGUAGAACAACAACAAAAGAGUGGUAUUGGUUAUUCUAAAACUCAUUUUCUACUUUAAUGGGAGUAAGAGAGACUUGUCCACACAACUAUACCACACUAUCUCUUGUCUUCUAAAAUUGUUUACUUUUACAACCAAAGACUUUUCAGUUAGGAGACUGGAAACCUUAUUAAUUCAAUAAUCUUAAAAACCACAUCUUCUGUCUAAGGUAAACAUACAUAAGUCACAUCUCCAUAGUAAGCUGAAAUUUAGUCUCUUUUGGUUGUGACGUUGAAAACCACAUCUUCUGUCUUUCAGCUGUGUCUAUUCUCUCUUUAAAUAAGGUCAAAGAAAAAAUAAUUACUAAUUGUUAGUCUUAUGAACUUUUGACUAUCGUUACAAUGCUAAAGGUGGACACAGAACUAGGGGAAUAUGUGAACCGUAGGCCGUGCUUGUUUGGAGGUUAGAUGGUAUCAAUUUAAUUGUUAGUUAAACCUAUAAAACAUAAGUUUAUUACCGUCUCCUUAUUGCGAUUUAAAUGAUAAAUUGUUGGAUUAAUCACAUGAUUGAUCUGAACUUGAGCAAUUUAAGAUAACACCACUCAACAAACUAAUUUAACAUAUGUUUUCACUUUUUUCGAAAUAUAGACAUUAUAUGACAUUUCUCAGAUACAUGUAUCGCUGCUUCUGCGCUUUGAUAAAUUUCAAAGGGCUACAGAUAUCAAACAUUCUGCUUAAACCAAACUAUCUGAAAGCGUUAGAGAUUCCUGAAGAGCUGCCGUGGGAAUUUGCUGCAAGACAGGCCUUGGAGGCACUUCAAGAGCUUCAAGACUUCCUUCCAUCAUCUCUACGACUCUGUUCAUUGGUGGCCGAUCUAAUGGGGAAGGCUGAAUACACCACAAACCCACCAAUGCCAUCUUCUUUGCUACCUCCUCUUCCUCAUUGUUGAUUCCGUCCUCAAUAAGCCUUCUAGGCUUUCCUAAUUCAAGAUCCCUAUAUACCCAUUCAGGAAAGUAUAUUGAACUUGUGUUAGAAGCAGAGUCUUGAUGAGCGCUUUCUUUGUUCCUUGCACCAAUCAUCUCAAGAACUAACAUUCCAUAGCUAUAAACAUCUGACUUGUAAGACACGCUCCCAUAAACUCUUGAAAUCAUUUCUGGUGCAAUGUACCCUACUGCACCUCUUGUGUCCAGCAAUGACAAGACACUCUCUUUCUUCUCACAGAGCUUAGCAAGCCCAAAGUCCGAAACUUUGGGGCAAAAGUUUUCAUCUAAGAGUACAUUUUGUGGUUUGAUGUCGAAAUGUACAAUCCUUGUUUUGCAGCCAUGAUGCAAGUACUCCAGACCACGGGCAACUCCUAACGCAAUUUGAUACAAUGUCGCCCAAUCCAAAUUCACCGAGGACUUGUCUGAGAUGAAUUUAUCAAGAGAUCCAUUUCCCAAAAAUUCAUAUAUAAUUGCUCGUUUGGAACCUUCAGAGCAGAAACCAAGCAAGGUAACAAUGUUGAGAUGAGAAGUUUGGCUCAUGCUUGCAACUUCAUUGGUGAAAUCUUCACCAUUACCCUUUGAAUCUUUCAAGAGUUUCACCGCAACCAUACGGCCAUCAGAAAGAGUUCCUCUAUAAACAAUUCCAAAUCCGCCUCUCCCGACCACUUCCGCAAAUGACUUUGUAAUUCUUUUCACCUGUGCAUAAGUGUAGUGUUUGAGUGGAAUGAGGGACUUCAGGUUCUGUUGUCUCAGACGUAAUUCUUUCAUCCGUAGAUAAUGACGAAAGAAUAAUAAUAAGAUCACGAACAGAACAACGCCUGCUAUCGAACCCGCAACUAGAAAUACAGAGAAAACUUGGAUUAAAUAACUUCAUUUUUACUAUAUGUAUCGGAUAUAGUUCAAAAUGUAUGCUCCCAGUGAACUAACCUUUGAGAAUUACAUUGAUCCAAGAUCCUGUUCAACCGUUCAGCAAUUAAAAUUUAGUCAGAAUGCAACUAAACUUGAUCUCGAAAUAAAAGUACGAAAAACAAAGUUCAAAAUCUAUCUUCCAAUCAAACUAACCUUUGUGGAUUGCGUUGACCAAAGACCCUGUUCAACCGUUCAAAAUAUUAGAAUGGAACCAAACUUGAUGUCGAAGAGAAAGAAAAGUAAAAGAACAAAAUCAGACAAGACAAUGGUUUACCAUAACAGUUAUGUCCAUGAGUCCCAUCGCCACAAUAGCAGACGAAUCCGCGAUUAUAUCCACAAGCACCGUUGGAUUCUAAGCACACUAAGCAGUCUUGUUUAAUUUCAAGAUUGAAACCCUUUUCAAGAGACUUGUUUGGAUUAUCUGAACGCAGACUGGAUAACGUCGAGUCACAAACAGGUAUACUGACUUCCUUUUUGCAAUUUUUCUCCAAGUCUUUAGUGCCAUCCCUCAUGUAGAGCAAAGCAGACGAGGUGUUUUUCACAAAGCAGUAGUUUCUUAGCCCUUCCAUACCACCCUCACAUUGAAAAUCUGUAACGUAAUUGUAAACUAGGCUAUUAGAAAUAUUUGAUGGUAAGUCCCGGCAGCCAUAUAAAAUUGUUAGCAGCUUGGUGCCGGGAUCGAAUUGAAGGGCGCUUUGGUUGAAUUGUUCAUUUCGUGGAUUUGAGGGACAAAGAUUGUCGGUAUAAUCCAUUCUGGCGAGAGUUAUGUAAUGUAAGUCAUAGUUUGCCAUUAAGAUUCUGAACUUCACGGAGGAGAGAGUCAGCUCUGCGAAUCCACUGCUGCAAUUGAGCAUGAAGCCGGGGUAGCCGCACUCUUCUCUCUCAGGUAUCCAGAAAGGGUACAAUAGAUCCUUCUGAUCGCCACAGCUAAACGGUUGGCUGCAUAGUUUGUAACGACCAUCAUUUGUGAAACUAAGGUUUGGAGGUAGUGGUGGCCCAGCGACAUAAUCAUCUGUGAAAACUGGGCUUGGAGCUGGGCUUGGAGCUGGGGCUGGAGAUAAAGGAUUCACCGUUUGUAAGAGACCGCGAGGUAUAACAGGGGCCAUGUACGGUAGAGUUUCUUUCGUUCCCAGACAUCGAUUCCCUGCAGAAACAAAGUUAGGUGUUGAUGUUAAAAACUCUGUGUUGUGAAACCUUUGGUAGUUCAACUUUGAGGACACUUACUUUUGUAUUUUGAAGCGGUAAGAGGAAACUCUGUGAUGGUUCCAUUGAUACCGGCUCCAGUGAUAUAUGAGUUUAUCUCAACUGUUGCAUCAGAUACAAACUCAUUCUGAAACAGUUCCACAUAGACCAGGAGCUUAGACUUCUGCAGCCUCUCCACUACAUUGGUUUUCCCAGUGACAAAUGAAUCAUCACAUAAGGGAAGGACUGAUGGUUUUAUGAUGACAACAGCGUCAGCGAAUUUCUUUAUGUCUUCGAUAGCAGAGUCACUAAUAUCAUCAAUUGUUUUUUCAACUUUGUAGACAGUCUCAUACUUGCUCUGCUUUUUGAUGUCAACUAAAACCGAGCUGUUCCUCGACUGUAUCAUGACUCUUUUCGUGGUCGUUCCAUUGCUGUAACCAGCUUCCGUGAGUGUAUCAAGAACCGCUUUAGCAAGGUCGAGACCUUUCUUCUCUCUAAGGUACACUGCAUUCUGAAGGACACAAAAAUAAAUAAUGGCUUGCCAUUAGAAGACGUCACAGUCUGAUUGCUAAAAUCUUAAGAGUAGCUGAAUACGCCUAAGCAUUUUACCCGGAACUGAAAACCUAACCCGAAACCGACCUGAAAAAACAGGUUCGGUUCGGAUCUGGAUAAAGGCAAAUUAACAUGCUGGAUAUUGUUCAGGACAUGCAGGUACAAGUUCGCGUUCGGUUCUCUCCGAGACCCGAUUGGAUACCCGUAAUUUCAAAAUAUUAUUGUAUAUAUUAGGUAUAUUAGGUGUUUUGGUUUAUUUUUGGUACUAGGUGUUUUCUUACACCAUGUGCAAUAAUAACCUUUUAAAUUUUAAUUAUAUUUAAAAAUAAAAUUUAUUAAUAUUAUAGAUUUUAUUUUUUUUACCAAUAUUUUAAUAUAAUUUUGAUUUAAUUAAACAUAAAAUUAAGAUAAAAUAUUUUUUUUAACUAUAUUUAAGAACAUAUAUGUAUAUCUUUAAAAUGAUAAUGUUAGAUAGAUUUUUUAUAUAUUUAUUUUGGUUAAGUAUAUUAAAUCAACUUGGAAAAAAAUUAAAAAAAAAAAUAUAUAAAUUGUAGAGACAAUGUGUGGAAUAUUCCCAAUUAAGGGGUAAAUUUGCUGAAUGGCCAUAAUUAUGGAUAAUCCAAAAAGGAGUAACAAAUUCGUAAAAGCUUCAAAUCCAACAAAACUAAGAUACUCAAACAUCAAACUUAAGGUAAAAACAUUAUGCAGAGACAAUAAGAAAGAUAGUUCAAUGUUGCAAACACAAAGUCUGAGAUUAAAAAAAAACAAAGCAUAGAGUCUUAGUAAUCAUAAAACCACGAUUCAACACAUCCUAGCCACAUCUGGCUCGCUUGGGGUCUUCUGCCUCGACCUUAUCAGCAGCCCUCUUCACAAUCCCAACGCAUGUGGAAGGUUCACCAUCAGCAACUCCAUUCUGCAGAGUUCCUUGGGCUUCAGCUUCUUGAUCUUCUGGGGUGAGGACCUCUGUCACAGUCAAAGCUUGGGUCUUGCCUGUCAAAUUGUGAUCUGAUACCAGAUAAUAAGAUUAACAUUAUGGGUGUCAAAAGAAUCAGAAUAAAAAAAAUAAGAGAUUUAUGUUGAAUUAGAAGAUGAUUUGAAGAAUUUGUACGAAAGAUAAAGAGAUUAGAACACAUAAAAUAGACAAGAGAGAGAGAUAUAGAUAAGGGUAUUAUAGUCACUAAAAUAUUAAAUAGAAACAAUGUUAUAUGACAAAUUACAUGGGUUUCUGGGUGCAUCUACGCUAAUUACUCUAAAUUGUACAAUUAUCAAAAAUUAAAAAAUAAACAGUAUUCAUAAAAUUUGUAGAUAUAUAAAAGAAACUCAUGAUUAAAAAUUUAUAAUUUUUUAAUAAAGUUGUUGAAAAUUUUGAAAAUAAUUAUAAAGAAUUUGUAUAAUUAUAAAAAUAAAAUUAAAUAAUAUUUCAAAAUAUAUGAAGUCAUAUUUGAAUAUAUUUAUUUUAGCGAUGAUGUAUGAAUUAUUACAUUAUUUUAAAAAGUUUACCAAAAAUAUAAAUCAACAUUAAAUAUAAUGUAUGAGUUAAAACUAUAUUCUAAAAAAAUUAUCAAAAAUAUAAAUUAAUAUUAAAAUAAUUAUCCAUGUCAUAUUUAGUCAUAAGCCAUGUCAUAAAUAUUAGUAGUAGUCAUGUCAUAUUUUUCUGAAAGUGAUUGUGGAGAGUAUAUGUGUCAAAUCACUUCUCAAAUAAUGUUUGGGGGAUUACAUAUAUUUUUAAAAAGUUGGGUUUUAGGUAUUCGGUUUGUUCAAGCAAAAAUUCAGAUUUUUUGAAAUAUAGUUUGGGUAUUUGGGUACUUUGGAUAAUUUUUGGUAAACUUUUGAAUAUGUUUUGGGUAUUUACAUUUUUUGGGUUUUUGGGUCCAGUUCCGAUAAUUCGGAUCUAGUUCGGGUCCAAAAUAUCCAAACCAAUGUGAAUCUGGAAUGUGCCCUAAAAUUAUAGGUUUUUAAACAGGUUUUCAAAAUCAUCAUCCGAACCGACCCGGAUCUAACAUGAACCGAUUCGGAACCGAACAAGAAAAACUAAAAAUACCUAUUGGAUCCAAAUUUGCUAUAUUGAAGGACCCUGACCCGACAUGAAUGCUAGAACUCACCUCUACACUGAUCAAAAUACCAGAGAGAGAAGUGGAGUUCUUUGCCAAGUUCAGAAAUUCAAAGAGUGACAUAAUCCUCCCAGAAUCUCUCUCAUUCGGAUUCCUGUAAGGGUUUGAAAUCGCAGCUGCACAAAAAAUGGGAGAAUAGUUAUGGUAAUGUAAAUCUCUCAAGUAGUCCGUAGUUUUAUCUUAUCAUAUUACGUUAGGAUAAUGUAAAAUUGAUAAGGAAAUAGAUAUUUGAGAAACUUACGAGUCAAGUUGUAGAUCUCAGGCCAUGUGAGACUAAAAGUGUAUAUUCCAGCAUGUGAGCUAAUCUCAGGAAUAAUUGUUGAACGGUUUCUAAGAGGAGUCUGGGCGGCCAUUGUGCUUUUCUCGAGAUCAAUGGAAUUUGAGCAAAAGGGUUUUCCUUCCCUGGACAUUUGGACCGAGCAGUCGAUAACAUCAGCUCCAUCUUUGAUUGCCUUAUCAUAUGCCAGAUUUGUACAUCCAGGAUAGUCCCCACUCGCUCCAUGUUUUGAUAUAACAAGAAAAUCCACUGAGACACGAACCAUUUGGUAGAUGAUAAAGUCAACUAUAGGAUUAUUUUUCAAUUAUAAAGAAAAUAAUUAUGCAAAUAAGUACUCUCUUUUUUUUGUCAAUUAUGCAAAUAUUUACUCUUACUACCUUGUUUUGUAGCGUUUCUGCCAAUGUGGGAGAAGCAGUCUGAGGAAAAUAUGAAAAAAAAUAAUUGCAUAAAACACAAGCUUAGUGUCCAGAAAAAAACUCUCGAAGAAAAUAUGCUUACCAAUUGAUGCAGAUGCAGUUAUGGGAAAAUCAGAGAGCACACCAUCGACAGAGAAAUCACCAUUGUCCAUAAAAGAUAGAUACUCAGACACUGGAUCGAAACUGUAGUUAUAUGCAAUAUCAGCAUCAUUGGAAAAACCUGACACAUAUACUUGUAAUCCAGCUUUAUGAGCAUCGUGAACUAAGGAUGUAGGAGGAAGCAAGUACUGCUUGUCAUCCAGUGGCAAUAUGUACGAUUUCGGAACGAGAAUUCCUGAAGCAAACGUCUUGACAUAAGUUAGGUUACUCAAGAUAGAACCAUAUGUUCGCUUUGUUGUCGGCUCAAAAUCUUCUUUUCCAAGAAAUUUGAACACAAAACUUGGUCCGUUACGCCCGAAAUGGCCGGUAAGUUUCUGAAAGAAAUUCAGUUCAGGGGAAGAGAUGUAGUCAAUGGAAACAGUUCUUGAAGCUGAUACCAGAAAGCUGCUCAUGCUCAGAUUAUGUUGAGCAUAGAAUGCAUCGUGCUGAACAUUUAACCAAAUACUUUCUGGUUUUAUCUGCGCUGUUACAUCUUGGACCGUUAAAAUUGAGAAUCCAUUUCCAUCAAUUUUUCCUGUCUGUGAUAAUAUUCCUUGGAUCACUGCAAACAUGUAAAAGAAAAAAAAGAGAGCCAUUUGUGAGAAGCAACAUGCAAUUUUUUUCAGACAGUAACUGAAACACUUACAAGAAACAUUCUUGAGAUCUCUCAAGGAGAAAUCAAUGGUGAACCAACCGUUAGUAGGGACUCCGUUAACCAGAUAAGAUUUUCGGCGUUUUGGGUAGACACUUUCAAUAGUUGAGUGAUUGUUCAGCUUUAAAUCAGGGUAGCAAAUGCCAAAGUCAUCUUUGGUUAACUGAACAUCACACCAUAGAACAGCACCGGGUACACUUGUCUGCAUUGCGAGCUUAUAAGCAUCAAGAAUCGAGUCUGGAAACAAUCCAGAAAACCCACCACUAGCAAUUACAAGAGGAGCAUCACCUGGUGAAAAAAACAAAAAGUUAUUUUAAUAAAAGAGAUUAUCCCAACUUAUACUACACAUCUAUAUAAAGAAAGAAAGUCCUUUUAUUUCUCGGAAAAUCAUCCAUUAAGGAAAUAAACAGAAAAGUGAGUGCACUCUUACCACUGAGUGUCUGCCAUGGACUUCUAGAUCUUUUAGCAUUUGUUUGAGCAGCAAACAGCUGAAUCAGAACAAGACCAUAGAGUAAAAUUGUCUAAGCUUGCAUUGUCGGAUUACUUGCCGGAAGUUAACUUCACAACCUUCUUUCUUCUCGGGAAUUUACACCAUAUAGAUAGGAAAACAACAAUAGUCGACUUUUAUGCAUAAGCUUUUCUUUAAUAAAUGGUUUUAUUAGUUGACUCUUGAAGUCGUCUUCAUUUUUUUUAAAUAAUACUAGAUCUUUUAUCCGCGCUACGCGCGGAUUGUUUGGUAUAAUUAAAUUUUUAUUUAAUUAAUUAAUUUAUAUUUAUUUUAAUAAUUUAUAUUGUAAUUUGUAAAGUGAUUUUUUGCCUCUGAACUCUCAUACUUAAAUUUAAAUCAGCUUAAAGAUUUAUUAUCCUUAAUAAAUAAAUAGAUCUGUUAGUAUAUAAUUAACAAUUAAUUAAAAAGAAAUUUUAUUGAUUUGAGAAUUAUCAUUGUCUUAAAAUAAUUUAUUUUUUGUUAUAAAAUAUUCAUAUCUUAAAUAAAUAAUUAGGUUUGUUAUUAUAUUAUCGUAAAUUAUAAUGAAUUGUUAUUUGGUAAUCAUCAUUAUAUAAAAAUAAUUUAUAUUGUGUUGUCCAAAAUAAUAGUUUACAUCAUAAUUUUUUAAAACAAAAGAGAUAUAUCUCCUUAUAUAUAUUGUAUAUAAUUUUAUAUAUACAUAAGUGUUUUUAAUAUUCUUACACAAUAAAAGUAUAAUUUUAUUAUAAUAAAUAUUUUUGUGAUAUGUAAAAAAUUGAUAUUCAUUUUUUUACUAAAUAUUUCAAAUGCAUGAGUAUUUUUAAAUUGUAUUUUAUGUGAUAAAAUAAUUGUUCUUUGAUAAAAAACCCUGUAUGUUUGAUUUAAUAUUAAAUAUUCUGAACAUAUGUAAAUAAUUUAUUCUAGUGAUAUUUGAAUUGAUAAUAUAUUUAUUUAUAUGCAAUUAUUGUGUUUACAAUCAGUGUACCAUUGCAACCAAACUCUUUCUUGAGGUCCUUAAGUAUCUUGCUGUAAAAAAAAUAUGAACCUAAUAAUGGAAUCAGUUGAACCUCCUAGACCAACAGUCUAAGCCAUGUUAAAUUUGCAUGAUGCUACGUGGUUGCUCAAAACCAAAACCUUUAAUGAUUAGAACACAAUUUUUUCUUAAAAAAUCUAUUCGUGAAUGCAUUUGUAAAUGUAAACUGCAAGACUUAAAACAACCAAAUUCGUAAAAGCUUCAAAUCCAACAAAACUAAGAUACUCAAACAUCAAACUUAAGGUAAAAACAUUAUGCAGAGACAAUAAGAAAGAUAGUUCAAUGUUGCAAACACAAAGUCUGAGAUUAAAAAAAAACAAAGCAUAGAGUCUUAGUAAUCAUAAAACCACGAUUCAACACAUCCUAGCCACAUCUGGCUCGCUUGGGGUCUUCUGCCUCGACCUUAUCAGCAGCCCUCUUCACUAUCCCAGCGCAUGUGGAAGGAUCACCAUCAGCAAUUCCAUUCUGCAGAGUUCCUUGGGCUUCAGCUUCUUGAUCUUCUGGGGUGAGAACCUUUGUCACAGUCAAAGCUUGGGUCUUGCCUGUCAAAUUGUGAUAUGAUACUUUCACAAUGAAUUUUCGAGUCUGUCCAAUGGUAUCGAUAAGAGCCUGAGGUACCGGAACCAAGUGGUCAUCUUCUACAUUCUCAUUAGCCUAAUAUACAUUAAACAACUGUCACUAUAUAUAUCUAGCUAUCUUGGAGAAUAUAGAUUCAAAUAACAUAAGCACACAGGGUUGUAAUUACCUCGAAAUAACUUGCAACCAACUCUGAAGCUUUUCUUCCGGAUAACUCAUGUCCAGCAUCACCGAGGAGCACAAAAGACGCCUGAUCCUCAUUAUCAUACACAUAGAUCUUGGCCAGGUACCUGUGUCAUGUGCAGAGUUAUAAUGAGUGCAUUAAAGUAUAAGAAUAAGUACAGCUGAGUCACUUACUGUGGAACACCAACAAUGUCGGGUUUCCCACAUUUUUUACACAUAAGGGUGGUAGGCCCUUUGGUUGCCUUAGUGUGGCACACACCACAUCCUAUGUAAUACCAGGAUGAACCGUGCACCACAUCAGCAACAGUUGCUAUGCACUCAAACCAAGCAACCUGCAAGAUGCGAAACAAUUAAUUAAGAGAUUAAGACUAUCAUAUUGAAGGCGUUAAUCAUUGAUAUUGUAUAACCUUGGCAUCUUCCUGCUGAAUAUAGAAUAAGAGCUCGCCUAUGGUCAUUGUCUCAGUCUUAGUGACAACGUCUGCGUUAACUCUGUUGGCAACAGAUAAGUUCGCGUUCAUCCUGAAGCCAACACCCAAACAUCAAAUACAAUGUGGAAUACAACGGCCAAAAUUUAAAUAUAGAAUGCUUACCAAGUGAGAUACUCUUCGGUUAUUUGAACAUCUUUGUCCAAGAAAACACGUGAUGGCGUCAUAGAAAUUAAAUCAGAAAUGCUAGACAGGAAAUCAUAGAAACGCAUCAACAACAAAAUUAUAGUUACUGUACUAUCAAUAAAAGCAAACACUUGCUAUAAAUUAUCUAAAAUGUUCAUCAGUCAAAGUUUUAAUGGAAUAUGUUCUCUUUUUUUAUUAGCAAAACUAAACUGCCAAAGUGAGACCAAGAAACCAAAAUCAUAAAUUAUUUUCUAAUCAUAAAGUCUCUGCCAAAGUAAAGUCUAGAACGAUAAGUUUCAAUUUCUAAACUAAACUGUAAUCAAGAUUUUGGGUUAUACCUCUUGGUCGAUGAGAAGCAUCUCGAGACCGAUAAGCACCUUUGACACAACAUUUCGAGCUUCCCAAAAAUGGAUCAACCGGAACCUCAACUCGCCGUCAUGAGGUCCGUAUUUCACAUCUUUGAAAGCCACCACUUCGGCCGAGACAAUAGCUUUUCCCCUGACGCGGGAAGAGACAGCAGAUUUGCCUCUAACACCUGAGGAGACACCAGCCUUCGUGCUGUGAAUGAUCGCACCUGCAUAGGAAUACGAACGUUACCAUCAUCAAAAAAGGGAACUAAAAAUCCACAAUUUCACAUGCGUUUCUAUUUACUCUAGUAUAAAAAUUAUCUACUAAAAACAAUUAUUUUGCUCAUCUCAUUGUUUUAAACCUCAUAGCUUCAGAUUCUCUAUUUUUUAUACUGGUAAUCAGACGGACACUAUAAUCUCAUAAUGAAACGAUAAGGGUUCUUACCAUUGGGGUUCUUCGACAUAGGUACGCCGAUCAAGACGCCGGAAGAGACAGCAGUUUUGCCGCUGAGUUUGGUCAGACCGGAAGUGACCGACGCUUCGCCUUUGUCUCGCUUCGAGUGGAGAUCGCCUAUUGAGUGGUUGGAUGAGACAUGGGGUGUUCCGAUGGGUUUGAUCGGUCCGGGAGAGGAGUCAGACUCAACGCCUUUUGGUUUCUCGGAGAUGGAACUUCCGUUGGAACUCAUUGCAACUAAGCUUAAUCGGAAUAAGACUCGUAUCAAGAGUUGUAUAAACAAAAGAAGGAGAAAAUGCGGAUUAAGAGUUAUAUAAACAAAAUCUGAAGGAGAAAAGCAAAACGAAUCCAUAAAUGAGAGUAAAGAGAGAACGGAGUGGAGUUGUAUUGAUUGUUUAGGGUCAGAUCGUGAAACGGAUCAAAGAAGAGGAAGAGCAAAAGGGAUUAGGAAUCGACAAAGGAGAUGAAGAAUCGACAAAGGGACGAAGAUUCGAUUUAGGUUAAUAGGAUUUGAGAGACGCGUAAGGGAGAGGUCGAAAUGGUUUGGUCGCUGGCUGGGUCUGUCUAUGGUCUAAUGGGUUGGGUUCUAUUGUUUUAAAAAUUAUGGUAAGUCGAAGCCCAAGAAAAUCAACACAUAUUUGACAUGGCAAAAACACCCUCUCUAAUUGGUUGAUUAAAAUUGCCUACGUGGACAGCUUGGUUAAGGAGGAUAUCUCCCUUUUAUUACUUAUAUCUGAUUCUAUGAAAUCUUCAGUGGGACAUGAGAGAGACUUGUUGGCAAACCUAAUCCACACUAUUGUAAAAUAUAGAGUACAAAACAACUCGUAUUAAGCCAAAACGAAUGACUAAUAAAACUCAGACGCCAGUGCAUGUGAUUAUUUCGUAGCCCAUUGAUAAAAUUACGUGUACAGCAAGAAACUACAAAUUUUGUACUUGUACAAUAAAUUUGGACAGGAAGCCUUAAAGUACAUGACUUGUCUAAUCUAAGGCAAUUAUAGUUUUGGUAGUCAGACCAUAUGCUGGGUCCAUUAUGAUACCUUCCGGUUUUCGAAAAUCUGGUGGGUGAAGAGGCUUCAAGUUUCUCUUUAACUGUAAAUACUUAUUGAGUAGAGAGUUUAAUACAUAAGCUUUUCUUUAAUAGCUUUAUUACUGAACUCUUGAAGUCGUCUCUUCAUUAUUUUUUUAAUAACCCAUUGAUAUAAUUAGUUGUACAGCAAGAAACGAUAAAUUUUGCACUUAUGCAAUAUAUUUGGACAGGAAAGCAAUAUAUUACAUGACUUUUCUAGUCUAAGGAAAUUAUAGUUUUGGCAAUCAGACCAUAUGCUCGCUUCAUUAUGAUACCUUCCAGUUUUCGAAUAUCUGGUGGAUACUUCAUUAAGAUACUUUCCAGUUUUAACUUGAGUCUUUGACGUUGCCGGUUGAAAAUCUAAUCAAAUUGCUGACUUUUCUAGUCUUUUAGCUUCCCCAUGGUGGAUAAGUUAAACGUAUAAAGACAAACGAUUUUGGAGAUAGUAUGGUAUAGGUUUGCCAACACGUCCUUCUCAUAUAACCGUGAAGAUUUCCCGGAAGAACUGGCUUUUAUGUAAUAUCAACAAAGGUUUGGAAAAAGUAACUAAAACGAAGGGCAGAGGUUAUUUUUAUAGCUGCUGAUCGGGUAAAUGACCAAUACGAUUCAUUUGUUUUGGGUUUUCUACUUUCUUAUUCAUAUUAAAAAGAAAAAAAAAGAAAAUUUGUGUUUAUUAAAAUAUUGAAGGAGGAGACGACUUCCAGAGUCAACUAAAAAGCCAUUUUAUUAGAAAAAAAAACUCUUGAUGCUCUGUAUUUGGACCAAUGCUUAGGCAACAUUGUUCUAUCUGUGGCUUGUGAAAACAAAGAAGUUACCAGUGACUUCCCGGAUUGGUAAUCCAACAAUGCGAGCUUCAACAGUUCUACUCAAUAGUAUUGUUCUGAUUCAGUUGUUUGCGGCUCAAAUUGAUGCUAAAGGAUCAAAAAGUCCAUGGCAGACUUUCAGUGGUUAGACAUCUCUCACUUUCUAUUUA